rnacentral:rRNA from 1 species
GUGGCGACGAUGCGUAGGGGUUCUGAGAGGAAGGCCCCCCACACUGGAACUGAGACACGGUCCAGACUCCUACGGGAGGCAGCAGUGAGGAAUAUUGGUCAAUGGGCGGAAGCCUGAACCAGCCAAGUCGCGUGAGGGAAUAAGGCCCUACGGGUCGUAAACCUCUUUUGCCGGGGAGCAAGGGCCGGGACGCGUCCCGGCCCGGAGAGUACCCGGAGAAAAAGCAUCGGCUAACUCCGUGCCAGCAGCCGCGGUAAUACGGAGGAUGCGAGCGUUAUCCGGAUUUAUUGGGUUUAAAGGGUGCGUAGGCGGGCUUUUAAGUCAGCGGUAAAAAUUCGGGGCUCAACCCCGUCCGGCCGUUGAAACUGGGGGCCUUGAGUGGGCGAGAAGAAGGCGGAAUGCGUGGUGUAGCGGUGAAAUGCAUAGAUAUCACGCAGAACCCCGAUUGCGAAGGCAGCCUUCCGGCGCCCUACUGACGCUGAGGCACGAAAGUGCGGGGAUCGAACAGGAUUAGAUACCCUGGUAGUCCGCACAGUAAACGAUGGAUGCCAGCUGUCCGGGCCGAAUGGGGCCUGG